UUUACCCAGCAAAUAAUGUGUGUAUUUUUUAUCUAUAUUCUUUGUUUCCCUUAGGAAUACGGGUGAGGUCGUUUAAACAUGAGAUUUCCGAUUUGUAUGGUUCCUCUGGUAAUAGCCCUUCGUAAACAUUGUCUACCAAGAAAUUGAUACCUUAGUCGUUAAUGAGGCCACUAGUUAAGAUGGGCAUAAUUUUAUGGGUGUGCAGUGGAGGUCACCCGCCACCAUUACAUUAGGACACGCAUGAGUGCGGAAGUCUCCGCUUGGGUAGAUUUCAAAAGUCGUGGUGGUAUAAUGGCUUUUCGUUGGGGUUAAAUUCAUUCGCAAGCAAGCGCAUGAGUCGCCCGCCGGAUUAUGCGGCGGCGUGCAUCCGACGUCACGGUGUAGCGGAAUAUGAUUGAAAGCUUCCGCCAGGGUGGCAUAGCAAAGGAAAAGCAUCCACCGUAUGUGGUUGGGUGGUACAAGGCGUUCGCCGGGAUCGAUGCAGGCAAAUCGACUGUUCCCGGUGAAGUUUACAUAUUGGCCCACUAAAAACGGAGUGUGACCAAAAGUCAUCUAACGUAGGUACGGCGCCUGAAAGUGUGAUGUGCAGAUAGGACCUUCCAACACGCAUAGGCACGGGUAAGUUUGUCAAGCACGCAAGAUGUGCGGUUAAAUUUGAGAUGAUGGCCCACUUUUAAGAAUAUUGUCUGUUGGUAAUGGAGCGGAGUUUGUAUGUAAGCGUAGAGCGCUCGCGUGGGUGGCGGAGCGUCUUCGAUAGCACCGGUGGUGGACGUUAGACGUGCGUGGAGUGGUGGAGUUUAUCCGACGGGGUUUGUCUGUAUGGGCGCAGGAGUGUACCACGGAUCCUUCUAUCCACAGAUCUUCUUUUUUGAGCCCCCAUUGAACAGAUCGCUGGAGUGGAAUUCUGAAAAACAUGUGUGAAGAACAAGAUCUGGAGCCCGAGUAGAGAGAGACGAAGCGUGUUCCGGUUCGGGUCCCACGGAUGGCGCCAAUGAAGAAGAAUGGACCUGUGCGGGUCAAUACUUCUACGGUGAUGAAUACGGAUAUGGCCACACCUCGUCUUCUCCGCCUCAUCCUAGAUCUGCAAAUAAGAAGAAGAAAGAAAAACGGGGAUGUAGAGACG
rnacentral:lncRNA from 1 species